UUUUCUUUCAUUUUUUUCUCUUUCAUAACCAAACUCUUCUCAUCUCCUUCCCUCUCAUCAUUUUUUUCUCACAUAACCCAAAAAGUCACCGCAAAUCUGUGGCCAAAAACGCUCCAAACGCCACCUAUUUCGAACAUGAGGAGCCCCGACGACGACAACCCCUACCCGACGAGAAACCGAACGAAAUGAUGUAGACGGUAUUCAGGAGGCCACGGGUAGAGCUGCCGGAAGCUACCGGAAUGUGGAGGGACAGCUGGAUUGCUUAUUGGAAGCUAUUGGAUAGAGCGGGAAACAACUGGUGUUGCUGAAAGCUACUGGAAUGCUGCUGUGGUGGAGCUGCCGACGUGGAGGGACAGUUGGUGUUCCUCUAGAAGUUGCUGGAAUCGUCCGCUGGAGCUGAAACGUGAAGGGGGCAACUGUUCUUACUGGAAACUACUGAAACGUGGACAAAGGGCAACCAUGGGUUGCUGUCGGCGUGGAGUGGAAGCUGCUGGAAUGCUAAGGUAAAAACAAAAAUGGUAAUUACAGUAUACGUGUGAAUUAUGGUCUGUCUCGGCGACAUGGUCGCCGGAAUUUGGCAUCUUUAAUGGCGGCCAAGCUGGAACUUCAGCGAUUAUUUGACAAAGAUGAACACUACUGGGCUCAAUGAUCCCGAGUUCAGUGGUCAGGCUCAGGUGGUCAUAAUACGUGGUUUUUCCAUGACCGGUGUAAUCAAAGGCGGUCCAAGAAUAGAAUCAAAGGUCUUUAUAACAAACGUGAUUCUUGGACAGAGAACAUCACUGAAAUGAAGGGUAUAACUGUGGAGUAUUUUUUUGAACUUUUUUGCUCUUCCAAUUUGGGAUCUCCUGAUCGUAUUCUUGAAGCUGUUGAGGAAGUGAUUACUCCAGCUAUGAAUCUUGAUCUUAGUAAGCCUUUUACCGAGGAGGAAAUCCUUAAUGCUUUUAAGGAUAUUUAUCCUCGUAAGGCUCGUGGAUAUGAUAGAUUACCUGCUAAUUUCUUUCGGAAACAUUGGGAUAUAGUUGGGCCUGAUUUAAUCCAGCUAUGUUUACGGUUACCCCUUGGGACGAACAAAUACAUCUUUAGUUAAUAAGAAAGUAUUGGUUCUGAUUCCUAAAAUUGCUGAACCAAAACAUAUGCGCCAGAUGAGACCUAUCAGCUUAUGUACAGUGGUUUAUAAAAUUGUCUCGAAGCUGUUGGUGAACCAUUUAAAACUGAUCAUGGCUUCUUGUAUAAGUGAUAAUCAAGCGGCUUUCCUCCUGGGUAGGCAAAUCUCAGAUAACAUCUUGGUUGCUCAUGAGUUACUACAUUACAUGAAUUUGUCCAAAAAUGGUCCUAAUAAAGGGGCCACCCUUAAGUUAGACAUUGCAAAAGCUUAUGAUAGGGUUGAAUGGAGUUUCCUUUGUAGUUUGAUGUUACGUUUGGGAUUCCAAUAUGAUUUUGUUACAUUGAUCAUGACAUGUGUUAUAUCUGUUACCUUCAUGGUUUGAGUUAAUGGUUCUUUGACCCACUGUCUUAAACAGGGCGAUCCUUUGUCUCCUUUCAUGUUUCUGUUUGUAACUCAGGGACUAUCUACUUUAUUCCAUAAAGCUCAGGCUGAUGAUUUAAUUAAAGGUAUACGAGCUAGUCAAAAUGGACCUCGAGUCUAUCAUUUUCUUUGUGUGGAUGAUAGUUUUAUUUUCCUAAAAAAAUCUAUGGCAGAGGCAAGAAAUAUUAAGGAUAUACUAGCUGUUUAUGCUAAUGCUUUGGGACAGAGAGUGAAUUUAGAUAAAUCUGUUAUUUAUUUCAGCCCAUCCACAAUUGUUGAUCAUCGACAACAGACGACAAUAUUUUGGCAUUCGGGCGGUGGAUACUUAAGGUCACUAUUUGGGUCUUCCUUUGCAUAUAGGGAAGAAUAAAACUCAGACCUCUGGUUAUUUUAGAGAUAAGCUGUUAACUCGUAUUAUAGGCUAGACAAAACGAUUAUUGUCCUAUGAGGGCAUGAAUUAUUCCUCAAAUCGGAUUCUCAGGCGUUGCCCCAAUAUGCUAUGUCAUGUUAUUUACUACCUCAACAUCUCUUAGAUGAGAUGACGGUUGCCAUGCUUCGGUACUGGUGGUCGGGAAUGACCGCCAGUCAUGGGUGGCCUAUAAUUGUCUGGUCCACUAUUUGCUCGACUAAACGUCAUGGGGGACUUGGCCUUCGAGAUUUUUCUUCCUUUAAUAUGGCCUUGAUAGGUAAACAAGUUUAGCGCCUGGCACAACAUCCGGAUUAUUUGCUUUCUUUUGGGAGUGAAAUAUUAUCCUAAUGGGAAUCUUCUGGGCGCUAAACUGGGAAAUAAUAGUUCUUAUGCCUGGAAAGGGAUUCAUAACAUUUUGCAGUCCCUCUCUGGUAGUCUUUACUGGCGGAUUAGUAUGGAUAGUGGUUUGAAUCUAGUCAAGGAUAGAUGGGGUGGAUCCAAGUUAAUUAAUUUAACUGGUGAUUAUUCUAAUUGGUUACCCCAUCAACAAUGUGACCAUACGUUUAAGAUCCCGACAUAUCAAUAUUGGGAUGAGGCCAAAGUACGCUCUUGGUUCCAUCCUAAUGAUGUGAAUUUGAUUCUUUUGACUACAAUAGCACCGAUUCAUGAAGAACCAUUGAUAUGGGGUUUUCAUGAUUCUGGGAGUUAUUCAGUUCGUUCUGGAUAUUGGUGGCUCCAUCGUCAUUCCCAACGGACUGUUGAUUCAUCCCGAGUGUGGUAGAUGAUUUCUAUGUUAUCAGUCUUUCCCAAAAUUAGAAUUUUUGCUUGGCAGGUUGCUCAUGCUGGCCUCUCUAUUGGUUACCAGAUUCGAGCAAGUGGCCUCGGAGAUGGCAUUUGUCCUCUGUGUCAUUUUGCAGAGGAAACAAUUGUCUAUGCCUUACGAGAUUGCUGGUAUGCUAGAUACACAUUACUUGCGGUCAGUUUUGUUGAUGCUACGGUGUCAUGCCCAGUUGUGUCUCCCAUGUCUUGGUUUGAAACGAUGUUAGCCCUACUAGAGGUGGAAAAAUUAGCGGUCUUUUUCGUUACUCUGGAAUAUUUGGAACGGUCGUAAUGUGAAGGUUCUUGUAACAUUUUUCAACCUCCUUGGGUUUUUGCUAUGAAUGUGAAGUUGUUGCACCAGGAAUUUACUCAGGCUCAGGAUUCUAUUGGUUCUUGCCCUCGGUUUACUUCUACCACUGGCCAGGUUCCCCAUCCCUCCAUCAUGUCGAUGCAGUGGCGUCCUCCUGACCCGGGUGUUGUCAAUAUCAAUGUGGAUGGUGUUUUUGAUUCUUUUUCUCGUAUGGUAGCAGUUGGAGAGGUUGCUCGUGACUAUUCUGGCCAGGUUUUGGGAGGUCUAGCGUCUGUUUCUCCAGGAUGUGGUGAGGUAGGUGUUGUUGAGAUUCAUGCUUCCUCGCUGGUCUUCGGCUUGCGCUGGAAAAUUCUUGGACCCAGGUGAUUUUUGAGAAUGAUUCGGUGCUUUUGGUCAAUAAGGUUUCCCGUAAUGGGAAUGAUCUUUCCACUUUAAACUUUCAUUUUCGUGAGGCGUGUUCGAUUUUGGCUAGUAAUAGGAAUUAUGUUGUUAGAUUUAUUCCUCGUGACUGUAAUAUUAUUGCUCAUGAACUGGUCUCUUGGCCUCUUUGUUAUGGAAACUCAUUGUAUUUUGACUCGGUUUGUCCCGAGAUGAUUUAUACGACUGUAUUUAAUAAUAUUGGUUUAAGUUAAUAUACGUUUGGGUAUUCUUUUCC